rnacentral:sRNA from 1 species
AUGUUCUCACACAAGCUGACAUAUCACUAAGUCUUCAAGACAGAACAUGUUCUCACACAAGCAGACAUAUCACUAAGUCUUCAAGACAGAACAUGUUCUCACACAAGCAGACAUAUCACUAAGUCUUCAGGACAAAACAUGUUCUCACACAAGCUGACAUGUCACUAUGUCUUCAAGACAGAACAUGUUCUCACACAAGCUGACAUAUCACUAUAGAAAGAUAACAAAGUGGGGGGAGGGGAUUUAAUGACUCUGGAGUAUUGAAAUGUCUUAAUGCACAAAUUAAAACAACAAUCAAAGCAAACACUAAGAAGUGCAAUCAAUAAAGUCACCGUUUCUUAUACAGGCAAAUACAAACAAAAUUAAUAGAUUCAUGUCUUACUUUGUACUGUACAGGAACUAGAUAGAUUCAUGUCUUACUUUGUACUGUACAUGAGCUGGCUAAAUUCAUGUUUUACUUUGUACUGUACAUGAACUGGCUAGUUUCAUCUUACUUUGUACUGUACAUGAACUGGCUAGUUUCAUGUCUUACUUUGUACUGUACAUGAACUGGCUAGUUUCAUGUCUUACUUGUUCCAGACAUUCCUAGUUUUCAUUAAUAUAGACAUUCCUGGGUUAGACAAAAUUCACUUGAAAUGUGCAAAUAAAAAAAAACACUCGGCCCCCUAAAAAGGACACACAUAGGCAUAUACCUAUACAAAUAUGACUCAAACAUCAGGCAUAUAAUGAUAGAAAUAUGACACAUACAUCAGACAUAUAAAUUAUACAAAUAUGACUCAUACAUCAGACAUAUAGUCAUACAAAUAUGACACAUACAUCAGGCAUAUAAAUUAUACAAAUAUGACACAUACAUCAGACAUAUAAUCAUACAAAUAUGACACAUACAUCAGGCAUAUAAUCAUACAAAUAUGACACAUACAUCGGGCAUAUAAAUCAUACAAAUAUGACACCCAUAAAUUGAACACACAAAUAGGACACAUAAAGGCAUAUAAAACAUAUAAAUAUGACACAAAUAGGACAGUGUCAAACAGUAUUGACCAGUUUUAUGGUAACUCUUAGACAAUCGAGUGUCUCAGUAGAUCAAAUAGAUUACAAAUAAAUAUCAAAACAAUAGUAUUGAUAUGACACUGUAGUGCACAAUGUACUGUGUAGGUGUAGCAAUCUCAAUGUGUUGCAUAGCAUGUUGGUGUGUAGAUGUAGGUGUAGCAAUCUCAAUGUAUUGUGUAGCAUGUUGGUGUGUAGGUUAAACAAUCUCAAUGUGAUGUGUAGCAUGUUGGUGUGUAGGUGUAGGUUAAACAAUCUCAAUGUGAUGUGUAGCAUGUUGGUGUGUAGAUGUAGGUUUAGCAAUCUCACUAUACCAUGUUGCUGUGUAGCAUGUUGGUGUGUAGGUUUAGGUUAAACAAUCUCAAUGUGAUGUGUAGCAUGUUGGUGUGUAGGUGUAGGUUAAACAAUCUCAAUGUGAUGUGUAGCAUGUUGGUGUGUAGAUGUAGGUUUAGCAAUCUCAAUGUGUUCUAUACCAUGUUGCUGUGUAGCAUGUUGGUGUGUAGGUGUAGGUUAAACAAUCUCAAUGUGAUGUGUAGCAUGUUGGUGUGUAGGUGUAGGUUAAACAAUCUCAAUGUGAUGUGUAGCAUGUUGGUGUGUAGAUGUAGGUUUAGCAAUCUCAAUGUGUUCUAUACCAUGUUGCUGUGUAGCAUGUUGGUGUGUAGAUGUAGGUUUAGCAAUCUCAAUGUGGUGUUAGGUGGAGAUUAAGAAAUCCCAGCUGGUGUCUUUGAC